GGGUAAGUGGUGUGGUGGUUUGAGUGUUAGACUAUGACUCUGGGGACCAGAGUUCAAAUUCCAGCUCAGCCA